GGUCUAUCAGGUACAACCUAUGAGUCAUUUCUUUUCUAAUAUACAGUACUGCUAUCUUGCAGAAAGAUAAGUCCUGCGCUCACUCCCAUCACCACUGGACAGCAGCAAGGACUACAGUACACAUCAGCCCCAAUAUAUGGCAAAAACCAAAGAAAAACAAGUCACCUGCGUUCUCUCCUUAAUCCCUAUGUAUUUUUAAAACCUCCAUUUGUUUAAAAGUACUGCUAUCUUAUAUAUACACAUAUACAUAUACACACACAUAUAUACAUACAUAUACACAUAUAUACAUACACAUAUUGGUCACUCAGGACCUGAACUCACAUUUCCCAUACUGCUGAUUCAGAGUGGGGACACUACUAACUUACCAAAGUGUGUCCCCAAUAUAGACAAUCAAUCACCCACAAAAAACACUUAAGACAAACAAAGGUGACCGGGAGAAAGAGAAGUUUGGGUUAUACUUAAAGAUCUACAAACCAUGCUGCUCAGAACACCUAUAGACUUAAUAAACCGGAGACCUCUUAUGGUCUCAAAAACCUGUAUCUACCUGAGAUACCCUGUAUCUAUCUUAGAUACUAACCUGGGUUACCAAAACCCUAUAAUAAACCGGAGACCUCUUAUGGUCUCAAAAACCUGUAUCUAUCUUAGAUACUAACCUGGGUUACCAAGAACCCCUAUAUAUAUUUAGACCAAAUGUCUAAUAAACCGGAGACCUCUUAUAGUCUCAAUAUAACUAGAGUCCUUACACCUUUCCUAUCUACUGGAUACAGUCUUACUGAACCAAAGGGGGUCAUAGACAAUCAGCGUCAAAUAAGACACAAAAAGGCUACUCACCGCAAAUGGUUUUGCUGAUCCAACUUCUAUCCCACUUCUAGACACCAAGCUGAAAGGGUUAAUGUUGUAAUGGACUCUAAUCCCCUCGGUUCUCGAUCCCUCGGUCACCAUAAUCAACGUUGAUGGAGAAUCAUUUGUAAGCAAUAACACACGGACAACAGCUUUACAAGACUCUCAAAUGAGUGUAUUCCAGAGCUGGCUUUUAUACAUAGUUUGCUUACAUUAGCCAUGGUAUAUGCCAUUCAUUACAGUACAGACUAUAAGAUUUAUUACUUCCUUAUAUUACGUUAUUCUGACAAUGGAAAGAUAAGCUUUUGCAUACGUCUGGAAAAGAAUAUCCUUAAAAUCGGAAUGGGCAAGACAUCCUGAAAUUUAGCAUUGUCUUACAUCCUAUAGAAGAAAUACCUUAGUCUGUCACAGUCAGCAUUAUUAUGUCGUAAAUUGAGUAUUCAAUAUUCCUUCAGUCAGCAAUAAUCAUGUUAUAAACCUUAUAAAAGCAUAAAAUACAUAUAAACAAGUUAACUAUUUAAUAUUCUUACAG
rnacentral:lncRNA from 1 species